GGAAGUAAAAGUCGUAACAAGAUUUCCGUAGGUGAACCUGCGGAAGGAUCAUUAACGAGUUAGGGUCUCUCUGGCCCGACCUCCCAACCCUUUGUCUACUUGACCAUCGUUGCUUCGGCGAGCCCGUCCUCACGGACCGCCGGAGGGACCUUUACUGGCCCUCUGGUCCGCGCUCGUCGGUAGCCCAACCUUUAAAAUCUUUAACUAAACGUGCCUUAAUCUAAGUACAAUUAUUAAAUAAAAGCAAAACUUUCAACAACGGAUCUCUUGGUUCUG
rnacentral:misc_RNA from 1 species